rnacentral:lncRNA from 1 species
AUGGUAGUGCCCUCAAGCUGGUCUCCGGCCAGGGCACAGGGAUGCCAGAAUCCUGCCUUUGACCAGGAACUGCCCAGAGCCAUCCACACAACCUGUCCAUGGCCCCUCUCUAGAAGGGGUGCCCCAAGGAGAGCCUCCUCCCCUUCCCCUGGUCCGUGGUUCCUUCCUGACCCCACCCUAUUCCGGGGUGAGAGGAGCAGGGGUCUGCCUAGGGCUGGGGUGGGGAGGAGGAUGGGGCCAGCUGCUCCCGUGUCGCCAUGCCUGCCCGAGCUGACCCGGCCCGGGACCCCCUGGAUGAUGUUGCUGGAUUCAGGCCACUCCUCCACUGUCCUGGGAUGUCUGCCAGAAACCAGCAGUGCCAGAGCCAGAGCGGACACCUCCCUCCAGGCGUGCCCCCCUCCGACCGAGCUCACAUCAAACACGAGGGCCAAGGACGGACAGCGGUCAAGGGCGAUGCUGGCGCCCCCUGACGUCUGAGCUCGGGAGGCAGGUAGGAACGCCCCCCACCUCCUGCCCCAGCACUAAGCCCCCGCCCCCACCCCGGAGUUUGGGACAGCGGUCGGCGGGGAGGAAGGGCUCCAGCGGCGCGGUGCACGGGCUCAGAGCACGAGCCCCGGGUCUGAACACCUGAGCCGGCUGCCAGCCCCUUCCCUGCUCUGUGACCUUGGCCCUGAAAGGUCCUUGUCCUCAAGGUGCUGACACAGUGAAAACCUCCGCGUGCUAUUCUUAGCCUCGGUGUCCUUCCGCGGACCUAGGACAGCAGCCUGCCCCUUCCCUCCCUUCUGGCCUCGGCUUUCCAUCCUCUUUGUUCGCUCACCCGAAGUUAGGGCAGCCCCUCCCUCCCAGGACAGCAGGAAGGGUGGGCCGAGCCUGUCACUGGAUCCCAGUCCACGGUGACCCCUGUGCUUGAGAGUAGAGCCCUGAUGUCUCAAGGGGAAGCUGUGAAUGGGGCAAAAGCUGUUCUCAGCGGCUUGUUCUCCUGUUCGGGGUGGGUGGGGGGCUGCAGGGCACUCCUGUGACCUGGGCAGGUGCUUUUCCACUGGCCCCAGGCCCCCACGCGACUGCACAGGGACAGGGCCCAGGGCGCGAUUGCCCCAGCACCUAAGGAACUGCCCAUGUCCCACGCAGGAUGGUGACCC